GAUGAACGCUAGCGGCAGGCCUAAUACAUGCAAGUCGGACGGGAUUCGGGGAGUAGCUUGCUACGAACCGAUGAGAGUGGCGCACGGGUGCGUAACGCGUGAGCAACCUACCCAUAUCUGGGGGAUAGCCUCUCGAAAGAGAGAUUAACACCGCAUAACAUCAGAGAAUGGCAUCAUUUUCUGAUCAAAUAUUCAUAGGAUAUGGAUGGGCUCGCGUGACAUUAGCUAGUCGGAGAGGUAACGGCUCACCAAGGCUACGAUGUCUAGGGGCUCUGAGAGGAGAAUCCCCCACACUGGUACUGAGACACGGACCAG
rnacentral:rRNA from 1 species